GCUUAGUUUGCAAAGUUGCAGCAUUUUACGGUACCUACAAUGAUCAUGUCGUAAUGGCGGACCACUACAAAAGAGCCAACCGUGAUUACCAACUUUUUACCAUUCUGUGGAUAAAAACGUUAUCUUUUCGUUUCCAGGCCACGAUUUGCUAACUUUUAAGUACGAUCUAAGACAACGUACUCCGGUUAAACAUCAAGACCAAGUGGCAGCCUCCGACACAAUAAUUAUUGAAGAACCUUUCUCACUAAUAGUUUCGGAAUAUAUACCGCCUCAAGAAAACGGUUCGUAUUGUUUAUUUAUUAUUGUAAUCAUACUAAAUAUCAUCCUAGUAUUAUGAAAGCGAAAGUUUGAAUGUCAGUUAUAGUCUGUAUGUAAAACCGCAUGGCACUGCUAGUCCUGUAAUAUUUUUUUUUUUUAAUAUUUCAGCUCCUACAGUUGUAACUCCUGAUGCUGAUAGUACAGUGUAACUUAACGAUGAAGUCAAUGAAAACUAUGACAAUAUACUAAUACAAGAGACGAACGGUUUGCUUGAUGGAGAUCAAAAUCAAGAGUCACGCGAUGCUGUAGUGCUUCACCAGCCAGUUAAAAAUACAGCCGCAGAAUCUAGCAAUUUGAUGGAAAAUGAAAGACUACCUGAUGCAGAAGUGGAUUCAACUUCAUCACAAAAGAAAGGGAAAAGAAUUAUCCAAAAAAAGCAGUCCAGGAAGAAAGAGAAUUUUGAACAAAGAAAAUUGGGUAGCAGAAAUUCGUAAACGUAAGAAAAAUUUACGUAAAGAAUUUACUAAUAGAAAGGGACAGCUAAUCCAGAAAAAAACACAAGCCUAGCUGUGGUGCUAAA